rnacentral:rRNA from 1 species
GACGAACGCUGGCGGCAGGCCUAACACAUGCAAGUCGAACGAGUGGCGGACGGGUUAGUAAUGUCUGGGAAACUGCCUGAUGGAGGGGGAUAACUACUGGAAACGGUAGCUAAUACCGCAUACCAUCGGAUGUGCCCAGAUGGGAUUAGCUAGUCGGUGGGGUAAAGGCUCACCUAGGCGACGAUCCCUAGCUGGUCUGCGAGGAUGACCAGCCAAACGGGAACUGAGACACGGUCCAGAAGACUACGGGAGGCAGCAGGGGGGAAUAUUGCACAAUGGGAGCAAGCCUGAUGCAGCCAUGCCGCGUGUAGGAAGAAGGCCUUCGGGUUGUAAAGUACUUUCAGCGGGGAGGCGUUACCCGCAGAAGAAGCACCGGCUAACUCCGUGCCAGCAGCCGCGGUAAUUC